UACGUAGGGUGCGAGCGUUGUCCGGAAUUACUGGGCGUAAAGCGUGCGCAGGCGGUGAGCUGUGUCCGAUGUGAAAGCCCCGGGCUUAACCUGGGAAUGGCCAUGGAAACUGGCGAACUGGAGUGUGGCAGAGGGGGGUGGAAUUCCGCGUGUAGCAGUGAAAUGCGUAGAGAUGCGGAGGAACACCGAUGGCGAAGGCAGCCCCCUGGGCUAGCACUGACGCUCAGGCACGAAAGCGUGGGGAGCAAACAGG
rnacentral:rRNA from 1 species